rnacentral:misc_RNA from 1 species
GAAAUGCGAUAUGUAGUGUGAAUUGCAGAAUUCAGUGAAUCAUCGAAUCUUUGAACGCACAUUGCGCUCUCUGGUAUUCCGGGGAGCAUGCUCGUUUCAGAAUCAUUAAAAAUCUCAAAGAGAUGGUCGUUGUUGACAACUUCCGUUUCUUUCGGAUGUGAGCCGUUUUGUCAUCUGGCAAUGGCUUGAAAAUGAUUGUGUUUGCACCAGCCACAUGGCUCGGUUCUUAACAAGUGCAACAGAUGUUAACUCAUUCGUUAUCUCUUGACGAGGAUCGUGUUCAAGCAACUGGUUGUUCACUCAAAACCCAACACUUUCAAUGAUCCUUGGAUCAUUGACUGAUAACUUGGUCUGAAAUCGAGCAAGAAAACCCGCUGAACUUAA